AGCAGCCGCGGUAAUUCCAGCUCCAAUAGCGUAUAUUAAAGUUGUUGCAGUUAAAAAGCUCGUAGUUGAAUUUCGGGAUCAGUACGCUGGUCAUGCCUUUGGUAUGCACUGGUGUCACUGGUUUCUCCCUUCUGAAGAUCCGUGAUGUCAUUAAUUUGGUGUCGCGGGGAAUCAGGACUGUUACUUUGAAAAAUUAGAGUGUUUAAAGCAAGCUCACGCUUGAAUACAUUAGCAUGGAAUAAUGAAAUAGGACGUUUGACCCUAUUUUGUUGGUUUCUAGGAUCGACGUAAUGAUUAAUAGGGAUAGUUGGGGGCAUUAGUAUUCAAUUGUCAGAGGUGAAAUUCUUGGAUUUAUUGAAGACUAACUACUGCGAAAGCAUUUGCCAAGGAUGUUUUCAUUAAUCAAGAACGAAAGUUAGGGGAUCGAAGACGAUCAGAUACCGUCGUAGUCUUAACCAUAAACUAUGCCGACUAGGGAUCGGAUGAUGUUAAUUUUUAAUGACUCAUUC
rnacentral:rRNA from 1 species